UUUGGUGUAUCCACAUGAAUCAAUGCCUUCUCAUAACACCAAUGACCUCAUACAGAAAAUAAUUGAAGAGGUUAAAGAGAAAGUGAAAGAGGCUUUCACAAAGAAGAUGCAGGACCAAUUAGAUAUGCUUCAAGCUCGGAUUAACUUUUUAGAGAGAAAUGAGGGGCAAAACAGAAAUCUAUGUGGAUACGUUGGUUCAUGAUGCAACCAGUGGCCAUGAAGUUAGAAGGGAGUCCAUACGAGAAGGAGUUCAUCCACAUUCAACUAGUAAUCAAGAAAUUGAGCAUGCUUCAGUACCCACAAAGCCCCUCUAGUUAAUGAUAACUAGUAUUGCCUCUCUGGUUAAUGAUAACUACUAGUAUUGUGGUCAAGGAUGCGUUUGAACAAUAUUAAGUUUGGCAAUGUUUCCUUUCAGUUAUCUAGUAUGGUAGGACCUUAUAAUUAUGAAAUGUGGUUGGUUUGGUUUGUACUUGGUAAUGAAGUAUAACUUGGCACUUA